AAAUUGAAGAGUUUGAUCAUGGCUCAGAUUGAACGCUGGCGGCAGGCCUAACACAUGCAAGUCGAACGGUAACAGGAAGCAGCUUGCUGCUUCGCUGACGAGUGGCGGACGGGUGAGUAAUGUCUGGGAAACUGCCUGAUGGAGGGGGAUAACUACUGGAAACGGUAGCUAAUACCGCAUAACGUCGCAAGACCAAAGAGGGGGACCUUCGGGCCUCUUGCCAUCGGAUGUGCCCAGAUGGGAUUAGCUUGUUGGUGGGGUAACGGCUCACCAAGGCGACGA
rnacentral:rRNA from 1 species